CAGCAGCUAACAAAGAGUCCAGCUCUCCACAGCUUGGUACACAUGCCUGUCUGCGUCUAGCUUACAUAAUUCAACCCCAACACAUGUCCGCUGAUGUUUCACCGAACCUACACCGGGGGCUCGGAACAGCCGCUAAUGAUCAGCGUGAUCAGAGUAUUGACAGUUUAUUGUCCUGUGUGUGCUCGUGCCUGUGUGUGUGUUAGUGUGUGUCAUCCAAAUAACCACAUUCCCCACGCGCGCACACCUGAAAGACAAGUCGAUAAGUAUCCACAGCAGACGAGAAACUAGUGUCCGUGGAUCAGAGCCAUUACCGCCGCACACGUUCUGCUCGCGCGAGGAGGUUUUGUCAAACACUGGACGUGAGCGCGUGCAGCUGCUGUGCGGAGCAGCGCAGAGGUACAGCUUCGAUGAGAUGACUUCCGGCCUCACCUUUCAAAUUUGGUGAACCCCUGCCCAUCCUGACAUCUGAGAGACUCAUUUGUGCCAUUUAGUCUUUCAGCCUGUUGUUUUCCUGUCCCUACUUUUUUGAGAUGUGUUGUUGUUUUUGUCAAAUUCAAAAUGAGCUAAUAUUUUUUG